rnacentral:rRNA from 1 species
GACGAACGCUAGCGGCGUGCUUAACACAUGCAAGUCGAACGGUAAGGCCCUUCGGGGUACACGAGUGGCGAACGGGUGAGUAACACGUGGGUGAUCUGCCCGCACUUCGGGGUAAGCCUGGGAAAUUGGGUCUUAUUACGGAUAGGACCACUGCCUGCAUGGGUGGUGGGGGAAAGGCUUUGCGGGGUGGGGUGGGCCCGCGGCCUAGCAGCUUGUUGGUGGGGUGAUGGCCUACCAAGGCGACGACGGGUAGCCGGCCUGGGAGGGGGACCGGACACACUGGGACUGAGAUACUGCCCAGACUCCUACGGGAGGCAGCAGUGGGGAAUAUUGCACAAUGGGCGCAAGCCUGAUGCAGCGACGCCGCGUGAGGGAUGACGGCCUUCGGGUUGUGAACCUCUUUCAGCACCGACGAAGCGCAAGUGACGGUAGGUGCAGAAGAAGGACCGGCCAACUACGUGCCAGCAGCCGCCGUAA